rnacentral:lncRNA from 12 species
GAGACGUCGCCUGUGCGGGUGCUCUUAAUGUCCCCGCGUGUUUGUGUCCCCCAGGACUCGCAGGUGUCGCUGGCAGUGAUCCACAAGGUUACAGACCGCAAACCCAGUCCUGCCUUCUGCGGCUGUGUGUGUUUGUACGUGUAUCUGCAGCAGCAUUCCACUUGGAGAUUGAGAAAACCUUUUGUUUGUGGAUCUCAGAAAAGAUUAGACUGACACAGAAGCCAAACGUUGCCAAGGUUGUUAAAGGUGUUCAGAGAACAUGAACUCUAGAAUUCUGCUGUAAGGUGGAUCUUUAGCACCUCCAGACAUAUUCAG